rnacentral:rRNA from 1 species
AAUAACGAUACGGGACUCUAUUGAGGCCCCGUAAUCGGAAUGAGUACACUUUAAAUCCUUUAACAAGGAUCCAUUGGAGGGCAAGUCUGGUGCCAGCAGCCGCGGUAAUUCCAGCUCCAAUAGCGUAUAUUAAAGUUGUUGCGGUUAAAAAGCUCGUAGUUGGUUCUGCGUGCCGCGCUGUCGGUUCGCCGCCUGUCGGUGUAACUGGCAUGUCGCGGCAUGUCCUGUCGGUGGUGAGCGGAAUUCCCGGUGCAGCGUAGGCUUACAGCCGAAGCUUGUGCCGUGCGAAGUCCGUUCGCCGAUCUCUCCUACUCCGGUGCUCUUAAACGAGUGUCGAGGUAGGCCGACACGUUCACUUUGAACAAAUUAGAGUGCUUAAAGCAGGCUGAAAUAUCUGCCUGAAUAGUGGUGCAUGGAAUGAUAAAAUAGGACCUCGGUUCUAUUUUGUUGGUUUUAGGAAUGUGAGGUAAUGAUCAAUGUGGACUGGCGGGGGCAUUCGUAUUGCGACGUUAGAGGUGAAAUUCUUGGAUCGUCGCAAGACGCACUAAAGCGAAAGCAUUUGCCAAGUAUGUCUUAAUUGAUCAAGAACGAAAGUUAGAGGUUCGAAGGCGAUCAGAUACCGCCCUAGUUCUAACCAUAAACGAUGCCAGCCAGCGAUCCGCCGAUGUUCCAUUAAUGACUCGGCGGGGAGCUUCUACCCGGGAAACCAAAGCUUUUGGGUUCCGGGGGAAGUAUGGUUGCAAAGCUGAAACUUAAAGGAAUUGACGGAAGG